GACUACGGGUGAAAGCAGGGGACCGCAAGGCCUUGCGUCGAUGGAGCGGCCGAUGCCGGAUUAGCUAGUUGGUGAGGUAAAGGCUCACCAAGGCGACGAUCCCGUAGCUGGUCUGAGAGGACGACCAGCCACACUGGGACUGAGACACGGCCCAGACUCCUACGGGAGGCAGCAGUGGGGAAUCUUGGACAAUGGGCGAAAGCCUGAUCCAGCAAUGCCGCGUGUGGGAAGAAGGCCUCGGGUUGUAAACCACUUUUGGCGGGAAAGAAAUGGUCUGUGCUAAUACCACGGAUUGAUGACGGUACCCGCAGAAUAAGCACCGGCUAACUACGUG
rnacentral:rRNA from 1 species